ACCCCUCUCCCCUUGCUAAAGGCUUGUUUAAGUAACCUGAUGUCCCCACAGCACCCCCUCUCCCCUUGCUGAAGGCUUGAUUGUCCCCAUAGCCGGAUGGCAACACAUACCAGGAUGUCUAUUGUCUGUGAUCACCCGGUCUGUCAAAAGAAAAGACAAAUGAGGAAUAGAGUGUACCUGGGACUUUCCAGAGUGCUGAGCCAAGGCCCACCAGAACAAACCGUUGUGUCCUUGCCUUAAACCCAGUGCCUGACAAUGCUUGAUUUAAAUUUACCAAUCAGAUUCCUGUAACCAAGCAUCUGCUUCUGUAAGCUUGCUUCCCGCCACCCCAACCCUGCCCUAUAUAAUCUGCUCCCCAACUUAGCCCGGCGCGCUCAGCCCACAAAGGCUGAUGCGUCCGCAGGCGCCUGUGUAACCAAUAAACCUCUUGCAAUUUGCAUCCAGUGGAGGCGUGCUGUUUGAUUCUUGGGUGCGGCUCCAGGGUCUUUCAUUUGGAGGUUCCACCGAGAUCUCUUGAAGUCCCACCCAAGACUCCAGCCGGUCCCCACCGGGAGCGCUUUGUUUCUUCUGUUUCCCCCUUACGUGUUUCUGUACCAACGUGUGUGCAGCCUGCAUGACUGGCCUCUAGAUCAUGCACCACAGCUCCUUCUCUCUUCACUGUCAAGGAGCAAGAAGAGCACCCCCUGGAACUAACACCCCCUCACUCCAGAUCUUCCCAACCAUGUCUCAGGAAAGAAUUGGAAACACGGGUUAUUUUACCAAGGCUUUGACUGGAAUGUCAUAUUUAAAAAGACUCGGAUAUGACCAGACAGUUUAAAAGAACUAAGGUUGACUUUAUGAAACCUGGAGCCAUAAAGCCCCUUGGGACUGUUGGCCUGAUACCUUGCUUACAGAGUUCCCAGCAGCCUCACCAGGUGAGUAAAGAAUGUCACUCCUUGGUAGGUGCGGUCUCAGAAGAGGAAUUCGCCCACUGAGGAAUUCGCCCAAAUCGACAGGUAUUGCAGGCAUGCCUGAUGGCCAGUACAGGGCUUGGCUUCUGGCCCGGAGAGGCUACUAAAAGUUCAACCUAGAGAUUCCUUAUUAAAAGUUCCAGCAAAGCAGAUGCUAAAAGAUCUAUUGAUUACACUCAUUGUUCUUGCUGAGCUUAUGUAAACAAUAGGCCAAGUUUGUCAAAACUAAACUUGUUUCACAAGUGAAUUAGUCCUGAUUUGGCUAUCUCUGUAAAUGAGGGUUAUUUUAGAGAGAAAAAUUCUGUUUUAAUAACACACCUUUAUGGAUGUUAAAUUCUAGAUUUGAUUGUCUUUAAAUGUUUGUUUACCUAAGCUAAACAAUUUGA